rnacentral:rRNA from 1 species
ACUCAAAUGAAUUGACGGGGACCCGCACAAGCAGUGGAGCAUGUGGUUUAAUUCGAUGCAACGCGAAGAACCUUACCCAGGCUUGACAUACAGUGGACAGUGCCAGAGAUGGCAUCUUCCUUCGGGACCGCUGUACAGGUGCUGCAUGGCUGUCGUCAGCUCGUGCCGUGAGGUGUUGGGUUAAGUCCCGCAACGAGCGCAACCCUUAUCAUUAGUUGCCAACACGUGAAGGUGGGAACUCUAAUGAGACUGCCCGGGUUAACCGGGAGGAAGGUGAGGAUGACGUCAAGUCCGCAUGGCCCUUAUGUCUGGGGCUACACACGUGCUACAAUGGCCGGUACAGAGGGAAGCCAAACCGCGAGGUGGAGCAAAUCCUUUAAAGCCGGUCCCAGUUCGGAUUGUAGUCUGCAACUCGACUACAUGAAGUUGGAAUUGCUAGUAAUGGCGAGUCAGCUACAUCGCCGUGAAUACGUUCCCGGGUCUUGUACACACCGCCCGU